rnacentral:misc_RNA from 1 species
UCUUCCUCCUCACCUCACCUCCUCCUCGAGACUCACACUCAACACUUGACUCAACAACAACACUCAUUCAGAGUCACAACUCAUAUUAAGACUUUCACAACAAACAUCUCCUGAAGAUGAAGGUCACAAAACAUCUUAUAUUUAUCGCCUCGCUAGUUGCGUCAUCCUGGGCGGUCAACCUAAAUUAUUUAACUCCAACGAACGGCUUCAACGGUGGCAACGGUAAUGGUAACGGUAAUGGAGGUUAUAAUAAUGGAAUUAAUGGAAAUGGCAACGGUGUGAUUCUAAACGGCAACGGAAAUGGGUUAGUCAAUGGAAAUGGUAACGGAUACGCCAAUGGUUUAAAUGGAAAUGGUGUGAUUGUAAACGGUAAUGGAAAUGGUAAUGGAUAUGUAAAUGGCGGAAAUGGUAACGGAGUAUAUACAAACGGCAAUGGAAACGGAGUAAUCAACGGAAAUGGUAACGGAUACGCCAAUGGUGGUUAUGGCAACGGUAAUGGACUUAUUGUCAACGGCAACGGUGUUGUUAACGGAAACGGAUAUGCCAAUGGAAAUGGUAAUGGUUUUGUCAACGGCAACGGUGGUGUUAACGGGAACGGAUAUACCAAUGGAAACGGUAAUGGAUUUGUCAACGGCAAUGGUGCUGUUAAUGGGAACGGAUAUGCCAAUGGAAAUGGUAAUGGUUUAGUCAACGGCAACGGCGCUGUUAACGGGAACGGAUACUACAACGGCAUCGUGGACCCCAUCAGCGCCCUUGCAGAUGCUAUUGGAGGUGGCGGCGUCCCCGGCGUGGACUAUCCCAUCCUGGCUUCUGUCCCCUUCACUGGAUUCUCCUGCGGCGGACUAAUACCCGGAUACUACGCUGAUACUGCCCCGAGGCCGGCUGUCAGGUGUUUCACAUCUGUCAGGCAGAUGGCAGGAGCGACUCCUUCCUGUGUCCCAACGGCACCAUCUUCAACCAACAGUUCUUCGUGUGUGACUGGUGGUACAACUUUGACUGUUCCACCGCCCCGCAGUUCUACAGUCUCAACGCUCAGAUCGGAGUGGUCAACGGUAAUGGCAACGGAUACUCCAACGGCAUCGUCAAUGGCAUUAUUAACGGUAACGGGAUUUACGGUAACGGAGCAAAUGGCAAUGGUGCAGUAAACGGAAAUGGUGUCGUCAACGGUAAUGGAAACGGAUACGCUAAUGGCAAUGGUUAUGCUAAUGGCAACGGUAAUGGCAAUGGAUACGUCAAUGGUGCAGUAAAUGGAAAUGGACUCAUCAAUGGCAAUGGCAACGGUUAUGCAAAUGGAAACGGCAAUGGCAAUGGAUAUGCCAACGGUGCAGUAAAUGGAAAUGGUCUCAUCAACGGCAAUGGCAACGGUUAUGCAAAUGGCAACGGUAAUGGUAA